ACGGAAGGCAGCAGUGAGGAAUAUUGGUCAAUGGGCGGAAGCCUGAACCAGCCAAGUCGCGUGCGGGACGAAGGCCCUACGGGUCGUAAACCGCUUUUGUACGGGAAUAAAAAACUCCACGUGUGGGGUCUUGUAGGUACCGUAAGAAUAAGGAUCGGCUAACUCCGUGCCAGCAGCCGCGGUAAUACGGAGGAUCCGAGCGUUAUCCGGAUUUAUUGGGUUUAAAGGGAGCGUAGGCCGUGCUUUAAGCGUGUUGUGAAAUGUAGGCGCCCAACGUCUGCACUGCAGCGCGAACUGGAGCACUUGAGUACGCAGGAAGUAGGCGGAAUUCGUCGUGUAGCGGUGAAAUGCUUAGAUAUGACGAAGAACUCCGAUUGGGAAGCCAGCUUACUGUAGCGCCACUGACGCUGAUGCUCGAAAGCGUGGGUAUCGAACAGGAUUAGAUACCCUGGUA
rnacentral:rRNA from 1 species